rnacentral:rRNA from 1 species
GCCUCCUCAGGGAGUCAAUCAGCUGCUGUGCGCUCCUCAAGCGCAUAGCCCACAGAUCAAACACGAGUGGCUGUCUCCGAGUCGGUUAAGAUAUGACCGUAGCGGCUCCGCAAGGAGAUCGGUAUACUAGUUCCGUAGGUGAACCUGCGGAAGGAU